GAUGAACGCUGGCGGCGUGCCUAAUACAUGCAAGUCGAGCGAACGGACGAGAAGCUUUCUUCUCUGAGGUUAGCGGCUGACGGGUGAGUAACACGUGGAUAACCUACCUAUAAGACUGGGAUAACUUCGGGAAACCAGAGCUAAUACCGGAUAAUAUUUUGUACCGCAUGGUUCAAAAGUGAAAGACGGUCUUGCUGUCACUUAUAGAUGGAUCCGCGCUGCAUUAGCUAGUUGGUAAGGUAACGGCUUACCAAGGCAACGAUGCAUAGCCGACCUGAGAGGGUGAUCGGCCACACUGGAACUGAGACACGGUCCAGACUCCUACGGGAGGCAGCAGUAGGGAAUCUUCCGCAAUGGGCGAAAGCCUGACGGAGCAACGCCGCGUGAGUGAUGAAGGUCCUCGGAUCGUAAAACUCUGUUAUUAGGGAAGAACAUAUGUGUAAGUAACUGUGCACAUCUUGACGGUACCUAAUCAGAAAGCCACGGCUAACUACGUG
rnacentral:rRNA from 1 species